rnacentral:rRNA from 1 species
ACGAACGCUGGCGGCGCGCCUAACACAUGCAAGUCGAACGAGCGAGAGAGAGCUUGCUUUCUCGAGCGAGUGGCGAACGGGUGAGUAACGCGUGAGGAACCUGCCUCAAAGAGGGGGACAACAGUUGGAAACGACUGCUAAUACCGCAUAAGCCCACGGCUCGGCAUCGAGCAGAGGGAAAAGGAGCAAUCCGCUUUGGGAUGGCCUCGCGUCCGAUUAGCUAGUUGGUGAGGUAACGGCCCACCAAGGCGACGAUUGGUAGCCGGACUGAGAGGUUGAACGGCCACAUUGGGACUGAGACACGGCCCAGACUCCUACGGGAGGCAGCAGUGGGGAAUAUUGCACAAUGGGGGAAACCCUGAUGCAGCGACGCCGCGUGGAGGAAGAAGGUCUUCGGAUUGUAAACUCCUGUUGUUGAGGAAGAUAAUGACGGUACUCAACAAGGAAGUGACGGCUAACUACGUGCCAGCCGCCGCGGUAA